rnacentral:rRNA from 1 species
AGAGUUUGAUCAUGGCUCAGGAUGGACGCUGGCGGCGUGCNUUAAUACAUGCAAGUCGAGCGAGAAUUUUUCAAAUGACGCUUCGGUUGAAUUUGGAAAAGGACAGCGGCGGACGGGUGAGUAACGCGUAGGCAACCUGCCCCUGACAGAGGGAUAGCCAUUGGAAACGAUGAUUAAAACCUCAUAACGCCGAAGGAACACAUGUUUCAUCGGCCAAAGAUUUAUCGGUCAGGGAUGGGCCUGCGUCUGAUUAACUAGUUGGUGAGGUAACGGCCCACCAAGGUGACGAUCAGUAGCCGACCUGAGAGGGUGAUCGGCCACAUUGGAACUGAGACACGGUCCAAACUUCUACGGAAGGCAGCAGUAGGGAAUCUUGCACAAUGGGCGAAAGCCUGAUGCAGCAACGCCGCGUGAAGGAUGAAGGCCUUCGGGUUGUAAACUUCUGUUCUUAGGGAAGAAGAAAGUGACGGUACCUAAGGAGAAAGCCCCGGCUAACUACGUGCCAGCAGCCACGGUAAUACGUAGGGGGCAAGCGUUAUCCGGAAUUAUUGGGCGUAAAGAGUGCGUAGGUGGUUAUCUAAGCGUAAGGUUUAAGCGUGCAGCUCAACUGCAUCUCGCCUUGCGAACUGGACUACUUGAGUGCAGGAGGGGAAAGCGGAAUUCCUAGUGUAGCGGUGAAAUGCGUAGAUAUUAGGAGGAACACCAGCGGCGAAGGCGGCUUUCUGGACUGUAACUGACACUGAGGCACGAAAGCGUGGGGAGCAAACAGGAUUAGAUACCCUGGUAGUCCACGCCGUAAACGAUGAGCACUAGAUGUUGGUCCCGAAGGGAUCAGUGUCGCAGUU